GGGCAUACUCGUAGACCUUGCCUGACUGUGCUCAUGUCCAGGCAGGGGGGACAGUGUAUGCAAGAAUAAUUUGGAGUUCCUGCCAGCUCUAACCAGCUUCAUCAGUGGCUGGAUAAAUUGCAGGACUCUAAACAUUUCCCUGAAGAAAAAAAGAAAACUUAAUUUGGAAAUGGUUCUAAUUGAAAAACCUCUACUUAGAGUAUGGAUUUUGAUUUUUAAAAAUUAAAAAUCAAAUA